rnacentral:rRNA from 1 species
ACGGAGGAUGCGAGCGUUAUCCGGAUUUAUUGGGUUUAAAGGGAGCGCAGGCUGCGAGGCAAGUCAGUGGUCAAAUGUCGGGGCUCAACCCCGGCCUGCCGUUGAAACUGUCUUGCUAGAGUUCGAGUGAGGUAUGCGGAAUGCGUUGUGUAGCGGUGAAAUGCAUAGAUAUGACGCAGAACUCCGAUUGCGAAGGCAGCAUACCAACUCGCGACUGACGCUGAGGCUCGAAAGCGUGGGUAUCGAACAG